CGUAGGGGCGAGCGUUAUCCGGAAUUAUUGGGCGUAAAGCGCGCGCAGGCGGCUGAUUAAGUCAGGUGUGAAAGGCUGCGGCUCAACCGCAGAGCGGCACCUGAAACUGGUCAGCUUGAGUGCAGGAGAGGGGAGCGGAAUUCCCGGUGUAGCGGUGGAAUGCGUAGAGAUCGGGAGGAACACCAGUGGCGAAGGCGGCUCUCUGGCCUGUAACUGACGCUGAGGCGCGAAAGCGUGGGGAGCAAACAGGAUU
rnacentral:rRNA from 1 species